GCUGGGCGUGGUGAUGCGCGCCUGUAAUCCCAGCUACUCAGGAGGCUGAGGCAGGAGAAUCACUUGAACCCAGGAGGCGGAGGUUGCAGUGAGCUGGGAUAGUGCCACUGCACUCCAGCCUGGGUGACACAGUGAGACUCAGUCUCAA
ensembl:misc_RNA Metazoa_SRP Metazoan signal recognition particle RNA